rnacentral:misc_RNA from 1 species
AAACUUCAGUUGAGAACAUUUUGCAAAACAGGCAAUACAAUUCGGUUCGGUCGCGGUGGAUCCACGGAAAUUUUGCUCUCGCAAUUUUCGGAAUUUACAUCAAAAUUAUUCAGUGAUUGAACAAAAUGUGAAUAUAUCUCCCUUGCCUGUAACGUGAAAUAAUCAUUUGAUACAGACAACGUAACCAGCCCGUUGAGGAAAUCACAGGAAAACAUCUCGUGAGCCAGAAUGACAUCGAACGAACUGCUCUACGUCAAGGGUGCCCAAAUAUGGAUCCCCCAUCCAGAAACUGUUUGGGAGAGCUGCACACUUUUGAAAGACUACAAGAAAGGCGAUACGGUACUUCAUUUACAGAAAACUUCAGGCGAAAAAUACGACUUGUCGAUAAAAUCGGAAAAUGAUUUGCCGCAUCUUCGAAAUCCGUCCAUACUUAUUGGACAAAGUGACUUGACAGCGCUUUCAUAUCUUCACGAACCUGGUGUUCUACACAACCUGGAAGUGCGAUUUCGUGAUCGACAAGCCAUCUACACAUACUGCGGGAUCGUUUUAGUUGCCAUAAAUCCAUAUGCAGAACUGCCACUCUAUGGAGCUGAUAUUAUUCGAGCCUAUCGUGGCCAUUCAAUGGGUGAAUUGGAGCCGCAUAUUUUUGCUGUAGCCGAAGAAGCAUAUGCCAAAUUGGAACGCGAAAAAUGCGAUCUUAGUAUAAUUGUUAGCGGUGAAUCGGGAGCAGGUAAAACAGUAUCAGCGAAAUAUGCUAUGCGUUACUUUGCGGCGGUUGGCGGCAGUGAAUCAGAAACUCAAAUCGAACGUAAAGUUUUGGCAUCUAGUCCAAUCAUGGAAGCAAUCGGAAAUGCAAAAACAACACGUAAUGACAACAGCUCACGAUUUGGAAAAUUCACUAAAUUGCUGUUUACAAAUGAUAUGGGUCAGAUGACUUUGACUGGGGCCACAAUGCAAACAUAUUUGCUUGAGAAGUCUCGUGUUGUUUUUCAAUCGCCGGGUGAGAGAAAUUAUCAUAUAUUCUACCAGUUGUGCGCAGCGCGCCAACAAUGGCCUGAGUUGGUGCUAGAUCACCAAGAUAAAUUCCGGUACUUGAAAUUGGGUGGCUCGCCAGACAUCGAUCGGGUCUCAGAUUUGGAUCAAUUUUCCGAAACAGUUGGCGCUCUAACGACUUUAGGCUUCAGUACACAUGAGAUCAGAGAUAUCAUGAAAAUCUUGGCUGGCAUUCUCCACUUAGGCAAUAUAAAUUUCAGAGACAUAAAGAAGAAGGAUUCAGAAGAAAUCGAAGAAGGAUGUGAUAUAUCGCAAAAUGAUAUUCCGCUAUUGCUAAUGGCUGAGAUACUCAAACUGGACGUCGACGAAUUACGAAAAUGGUUAAUAAUGCGACAGAUUGAAUCAGUCAAUGAAAAUGUUCUGAUACCGAACAGCAAACUAAUUGCUGAGACUGCUCGUGAUGCACUUGCCAAACAUAUUUAUGCAAGACUUUUCCAAUAUAUCGUUGAAAUAACAAAUAAAAGUUUAGUGAGCGGAAGAAAACAAAAUUGUUUCAUCGGAGUUUUGGAUAUUUAUGGAUUUGAAACGUUUGAUACAAAUUCUUUCGAACAGUUUUGCAUCAAUUAUGCGAAUGAAAAGUUACAGCAACAAUUCAAUCAGCACGUGUUUAAGUUGGAACAGGAAGAGUAUCUGAAGGAGGGUAUUGUAUGGACAAUGAUUGAUUUUUAUGACAAUCAGCCAUGUAUCGAUUUGAUUGAAGCAAAAUUGGGAGUUUUGGAUUUGUUGGAUGAGGAGUGCAGAAUGCCAAAGGGAAGUGAUGAGUCUUGGGCAGGCAAACUUUAUGAGAAGUGUGCAAAGUACAAACAUUUUGAUAAGCCACGUUUCGGCGUAUCAUCUUUUCUAGUCAAACAUUUUUCGGAUCUAGUUGAAUACGAUGUGAAUGGUUUCCUUGAGAAAAAUCGCGAUACCGUAUCUAAAGAACUAGUUAAUGUUGUAAGACAGUCAGAAAUGGGACUGUGCAGGAGAUUAAUGGAAAUGGACGAUGAAGUGACUGAUAAAGCAUCGAGCACGUCGCUUGGCGGACGUGUCGUUGUUAGUGCAUCAAAAACUCAGUCGGCCGAAUCGAGGAAAAGACUGACACCAUCUAAACAACAUAGAAAAACCGUUGGCUCACAGUUUCGCGACAGUCUCAGUCUCUUGAUACAGACACUGCACGCGACGACACCUCACUACGUUCGAUGUAUUAAGCCAAAUGAAGAUAAAUCGGCGUUCAAAUGGGAUGCACCUAAAAUAGUACAACAACUUCGAGCCUGUGGUGUGCUGGAAACAGUUAGAAUAUCAGCUGCUGGGUUCCCUUCACGGUGGGGCUAUAUGGAAUUCUACUCGCGAUAUCGUUUGUUAUGCAAGAAUAAGGAAAUCGUUAUAAACGAUAUUAAAAAAACGUGUCAGACGAUUGUGAAAAAAUGGCUCGUCGAUGAAGAUAAAUAUCGUUUUGGUAAUACACAGAUUUUCUUCAGAGCUGGACAGGUAGCAUACUUGGAACAAGUUCGCUCCGAUAUUCGAAAGAAAUACAUAAUAAUUGUGCAAUCCGUUGUUCGCCGAUUUAUUUACAGAAGAUUAUUCCUACGGUUGCAACGAACAGCUUUGGGAAUACAAACCUAUUCUCGUGGACUGUUGGCAAGAAGAAAAGCAAAAUAUCUACGAGAAAAUCGUGCAGCUAUUAUCAUUCAAAAGUAUGUGCGAGGAUGGUUGUGUCGAACUCGAUAUCUUAAGUUACGCUAUUCGAUUUGUGGCAUCCAACAGUAUGCCAGGGGAAUGCUGGCCAGGCUUCGAUUCAGAAUUGCGAUGGAUAAUUACAAGGCCACACAAGUUCAACGGUACAUUCGCGGAUAUUUGGUUCGUCGGGAGUACAGAAAGAAAAUCGCACAUAUUGUCAAAUGUCAAGCAGUGGUACGCGGGUUCUUGGCCCGUCGUUUGUAUAAGCGUAUGAAGGCUGAGGCACGAACAAUAUCACAUAUGCAGAAAAUGUACAAAGGAUUGGAGAAUAAGAUUAUAUCAUUGCAACAAAAAAUUGACGAACUUAAUCGGGAGAAUAAUUUGCUAAAGAGUAAAACAUUGGAAAUAGGCGAUCUGAAGGCUAAGCUUGACGCCAAGAAGAAUAUAGAGAAUGAGUUGAAAUCGUUGAAGAGUGUUCUUUUGGAGAAAGACGCAUCAUUGAUGUCAGUAACAAAACAACUAGAACUGGAACGGGAUGAAAAGAUGAUGCUGCUCGAAGAAAAAGACCGGGAAGAGCAAGAAUGGAAUACUCAAAGGCAAACUUGGAGGGUGGAGAACGAGGAACUGAAGCGCCAAUUCGAUGAAAUGAUUGAACUUGCGAAAAAGGAGGAAAGCUUGACUAUGCAUCGAACAAGAAUCAUGUCAGAGGUUGACACUAACGAUUUGAAUCAGGCCUACCAGCGAGCGGUGAAAGACAAAGAAGUAUUGGAAAACGAGAAUUAUCUACUUAAGGAGGAGCUAGCUCGAGUGCAACGAACAAGUGCGAAUCCAUCUGAUUACAAUGGACAUUCUCGCUCGCUUAGUAACGCUUCAAGUCAAAAUGAAGAAGAUUUUGGUUAUUCUUCUGCUAAAAACACUUUGGAACUCAAACGGGGAUCAGCUCUGCCUACGGAGAACAGUGAAAACUCUACACCAAAACGAUCGCAGACAUCGCUUAUCAUAAAACUACGAAAGAUCUUGGAGGAGGAAAAAACUAAAAAUGAAUUACUUGAAAAGCAAUAUAUCCGUAUUCGAAAUAAGAGCAAUAUUUACACUGCAACAGAAGACUCGCUAAGAAUCUCGGAAUUGGAAGUGGAAAAUGAUAAAUUGAAACAUGAUUACGAGUUAUUACGCAACAGUAUACAUCGUGGUGUAGAACAACAAGAGCUUUACGCACAAAAUCUAGCACUACAAGAAGAAGUACGACGGCGACGAGAAGAGUGUAUACAACUACGAGCUGUACUUGCCCAGCACAGUCAGUUGCUGAAACCAUUAAAUGCAAAAGACUCUGAUCAUCUCAAUAAUAAUGGUGAACUGGUGGAAGCAUUCCAAGCGUUAAAAUUGGUCAAUAAGCAAUUAGAAUCUGAAUUAACUGCUCUAACUGAAGAACACAAUGCUCGUGUCGGUGAAUUAGUGAAACAAAACGACGAUGUACGUAACGAAUUGAAUCAGUUGCGGUUACUUAAAGUAGAAAAAUUGGAAACAUCGGGGGUUGAAGCAGAUAUUGAAACCUUACGGCAUAAUGAUAUGUAUCUUCGGUACGAAUUGGAAAAGGCUUAUUCAGACUACGUUGAAUUGCAAGAACAACUUAAUGGCAAAAAGAAACAAUUGGCUGAACUUACGAAACGGAAUAGUAUUCUCAUUGGAAGAUUACAUGAACACGGUAUAAGUGAUGCGAUUACGGAGAAAACUGAUCAGAAAAAUUUGCCUGCUGUAAAGAAGAAAGUUCAACAAUAUCAAGGUAUCUUUAAAUAUCGCAUUGAGGACGAGGGAAAAAUUCUUCAAAGGUUGAUAACAGACUUAACUCCUCGAGUGGCUAUUGGUUUACUUCCUGGCUUGCCUGCUUAUAUAAUUUUAAUGUGUAUACGAUAUACUGACUUAGUAAAUACUGAUGAACACGUAAGGACUCUGCUCACGAAUUUCGUAGUAAUGGUUAAGAAAAUUUAUCGACUUCCAACCACAACAGAAUGUCGGGUUUUGUGGCUCGUAAACACAAUCACAUUGCAUAAUCUUCUAAAGCAAUACGGUGGUAUUGAUGAAUAUAUAAAAUUGAACACAGAAACGCAGAAUCAGCAACAGCUAAAGAACUUCGAUCUGUCUGAAUACAGGCAAGUCAUCUACGAAACGAUUAUUAAUUCGUACAGAAAUCUUGUGAAUCGUGUCCAAGAACUGAUCAAACCAUACAUUGUUCCGGCAAUACUUGAUCAUGAUGAAAUGUCUCGCGGUAGAAGUACUGCGACAACAGGUCGAAGUAUGUCCCUAGACAUUUCUCCAGAGCAUCAUCAUCACCACAACCAACGUCCAGAGCCGAAAUCGCUUGCCAAUCAGUUGGAGCACUUCUACAAACAAUUCCAAUAUUUUGGAUUGGAUAACUGUUAUAUUGAACAGAUAUUCAAACAAUUAAUGUUUUUCAUUAUGUCAGUUUCGUUGAACAGCCUAAUGUUUAGACCAGAAUUGUGUAUGUGGAAGACUGGCAUGAAGAUCCGUUAUAAUGUCAGUUGCCUGGAAGAUUGGGCUCGAAAGAAGAAAAUGUCCGGCGAAGUACUUUCACCAAUCCAAUCAUUGAUUCAAGUUUCGUCACUCUUGCAAUCACGUAAAACUGAGGAGGAUGUUCAUAGCAUUUAUGAAUUAUGUUCUGAGUUGCCGACAGCACAAGUUUUGAAGAUAAUAAAAUCUUAUCACCCGGAUGACUGUGAGAAUCCUAUUUCGAACGAGUUCAUUGAAAAGUUGACAGAAAAACUUAACGAAAGGACCAAUGUAUCACAAAGUGAUAAAUUUACAAUGGACGAAAACGAAGUCUAUCCAUUGAAAGUCGUCUUCAAGCAUAGCGACAUAAAGUUAGAAGACAUCGAGUUGCCGCCGGCUCUAAACCUAGACGGGCUCUUAACGAAAAUCUAAUAAACGUAACUAGUAAGUAGAUCAACUCCGUAGUAACUGUGUGAAUAAGUUAGGAAGCUUCUCCAUAUAAUUAUUAAAUAAAAGGCACAUUAAGUAGCCGACAAUGUUGCAGCUCAAGCUUCUCUUAGAGAGUAUUAUUUAGAAAAUACGCUACUUAAAAAUGUAUAAUUCGGAAGUUACUUAAUAGACACGUAUUUAAGUUCCAGUCUUAUCAGUUACUUAAUCCAGUACUGUUAUAGGUUGAACCUAUAUAAAUGUAGUGCAAAUGAAACGUACCUAUAUGCAAGCAAUGGCAACCAAUCGAAACAUUCCUUACACAAUUGUAUUCAAUACAGAAAAAUUAUGUAGAUCUGUAUAAAAAGAAAAAGUAAUGGACGUGAGAAGAGUAUUAGAGGACCCCAAGGCAUACCCCCUCACGUGAAGGGAAGAACUAACAACGUGGAAUGUAUGGUAGAACAUUUGGUUCAAUCACUGAACUCAUCAAAAUUUUAAAUUUCAAAACUCGCCUGUAAUAUCAGACUUUUUUACAAUGUAAAAUUCUAAAAUCAGAAUAUAUUGGUAAAGCAGACAAAAAGCUGUUACGAGUGAUUGAUCUCUGCAUCUUUUGUUCCCUGAAAGGAUACAACGUGUGGUCGUUGCCUUGAUUUUUAUGGUAUUUCGGUGAACCACAAUAUCUUUCUCACGCUCCCCAAGAACGUCUUAAAUAUUUUCAUACUAACAUUCCUUACUGAUUUAAUCUAUUAAUGCGUGGACGCAUAAAAAAUAUCCGAUUUUCAAUGCCUUAAAAAGUCUUACCGAUCGCUAUGUGUGAUAAAACAUUGGAAGGUUGUUAAAAGAAACACUUUUUUGAUUUCUGUUUAUCUAUUAUAAACACAUAUUUGUAUAUACAAGGAGAUGGGAUAAUGAAGUGAACUUUAAUUUGAACCAUAUCGAGAGCAGGAAUGCAUAUUCAUUGUUAAUUUAUUACAUUUAUGAUUUAUGUUCCUUAGAUGAUCAGAAUUAACUAAAAUUUUUAAGAGUUAAUACGCUUGAUGUCAUUGAUAUCAUUUGAAUAAGCUUCUGGACCAAGACACGAAAUUGUUGAAUUAAAUUUCCUAUUAUAGAUAAAUAGGUAUUGCCACUACUA